GUGGCCGAGUGGUCAAAAGCACUGGCUCUCAACCAGAAGGUGCUGGGUUCAAAUCCCGGC
rnacentral:tRNA from 1 species